rnacentral:rRNA from 1 species
GGGAUGAACGCUGGCGGCGUGCUUAACACAUGCAUGUCGAACGAUGAAGGCUGGAGCUUGCUCUGGCUGGAUUAGUGGCGAACGGGUGAGUAACACGUGAGUAACCUGCCCCAGACUCUGGGAUAAGCGCUGGAAACGGCGUCUAAUACCGGAUACGAGCUUCCACCGCAUGGUGAGGAGCUGGAAAGAAUUUCGGUCUGGGAUGGACUCGCGGCCUAUCAGCCUGUUGGUGAGGUGAUGGCUCACCAAGGCGACGACGGGUAGCCGGCCUGGAGAGGGUCGACCGGCCACGACGUGGGACUGAGACACGG